GAGAUCGCGCUUUAGGACCAAGAUCGCCAUAGAAACGAGAUUCAUAAUAAUUAACGACCUCUACAAUCGUCAACCAUGACUUUAACUGAUAAUGUGAAAACUGUUUAUUACUGUGUUGUUGUUAUCAUUAUUAUUAUUGUUGUUGUUGUUGUUGUUGUUUUAAUGAUUGUUGUUAUUAUUGUUAUUACUACCUGAUCCUUCUCUCCUGAGGAUAAUCUUUGGUCUGAAACUCUCACGUCUUCAUGUGGGAGGACACGGCGGGUGGACGUGGAUCAUCGUCUGAGUUUCCGGCGUGAAGACGAGGUUUUCUAAACAAAGUUCAAAUAAAGAUGAAGUGAAUAUUUCUGUAAAAGACGAUGAUUUAAAGUUUUAAAGUGUGACAGAGUGAAGGUGAUCAAGGUCAGCUGUUAAAGAAAAAGAGAGAGAGAGAGAGAGAGAGAGGUGGAGCGGUGCGGAUCUCUCCUGGGUUUCUGUUAAACGAGUGGAAACUGAACAAACGGAGCGAAAGAACAAGAAGAAGGAGGAAAAGGAACGACAGAGUGAAGGUCACAGAGUGCUAAACGAUGUUUAGAGGGAGGAGGACGAUCCCUCAGGGCCUCCACACCUCCAUCACUCCUCCAUCAUCUUCAUCCUCCUCUCCUCUGCAGCCUCACCUCCCCACCUCCUCCUCCUCCCUCCCUCCAUUGUGCCUCCUCUCCUCCCUCUCCUCCUCUCUCAUCCCUCCAUCACUUGUUCCUGAUUUUCUUCCUGUUAAAUCAGUUUGAGCGGAAAAUUUUCCUCCCAGAGGCCGAAAAAAAACACAGAAACCUCCCCAGCAUCCUCCUCCUCUUCAUCUUCGUCUUCAUCACACCCCCAUCCACCUCCUCCUCCUCAUCUUCAUCACCUCCCCCACCACCUCUUCCUCCUCCUCCUGGUGUUUUCGUCUCAGUCCAGGUCUAAAGUUUCUUUUUUAUUUCAGUCCUGACGUCUAAAAAUCACCGAAAUAAAGUUUCUCUAAAUAAUCAAAGACCUGAAGAAGGAGGAGACAGAGGAGGAGACAGAGGAGGAGACAGAGGGAGAGGACAGGGGAGACAGAGGGAGGAGGAGACAGAGGAGACAGAGGAGACAGAGGGAGGAGGAGACAGAGGAGGAGGAGACAGAGGAGGAGACAGAGGGAGAGGACAGGGGAGACAGAGGGAGGAGGAGACAGAGGAGACAGAGGGAGGAGGAGACACAGGAGGAGACAGAGGGAGAGGACAGGGGAGAAAGAGGGAGGAGGAGACAGAGGAGGAGACAGGGGGAGAUGACAGGGGAGACAGAGGGAGGAGACAGGGGGGACAGAGGGAGGAGGAGACAGAGGGAGAAGGGGACAGAGGGAGACAGAGGAGGAGACAGUGGAGACAGAGUGAGGAGGAGACAGAGGAGGAGACAGAGGAGGAGGAGACAGAGUGAUAAUUGAGAGUUUGUGAAUCAAAAAUGAAAAAACUGAAUCUUAUUCUCAGAUUCGAGGAAAAACGAUCAGCUGAUUGUUUAUAGUUUACUGAGGAUCAAUAAAUCAGGACUGGGGGCCGGAUCAUUAACACACACACACACACACACACACACACACACACUAAAACACACACACACACACACGGCUGUCAGUCACACAGAAAUCAAUAAAAGUGUAAAAAGCUGUUAAAGUUCAGAUUCAUCUGAGCUGAAGGAACCAAUUAAAGGAACAUGUGUGUGUCUGUGUGUUUUUUGUGUGUGUGUGUGUUUUAGUGUGUGUGUGUGUGUGUGUAUCAGCUUGGUUCUGAACAUUACAGUCAUUAAAUCCAAACAGAAACUUCUGCUCCUGUUGGAUGAAGAUGAUGUUGGAAGCUGCAGUUCUCAGAGUGUCCACUAGAGGCAGCAGACCAUAGACUGUUUAUACUCUGGACAACUUCCUCCUCCCGCCUGUUUACGGAUCUGAAGCUGAAAAGUUUUUCUGUAAUUCUGAGUUUUUUUCUCCACUUCCUCAAACCAACUUUGUUCAGUAACGUUGUUCUUAUUCAGCAGGAGAGUCUCUGUGAUGACGCUCGGCUCAAACAGCGUAUCCCCCGGUGAUCUACUCAAUCUCUGUCCUCCCAUUGGCUGUAUCAGGUGUCAAUCAUAGAAAACAUGAACCCCCUAAUAACUUUUAAAAAUGGAGCUGUACAGAAAAAAGAGGACUUGAGCACAAACCAGUCUGACAGUAACUACAUGUCAACAUCACAACCAGGGGGGAGAAACAUUUAUAUUCUGUGUCAUUCAUUUAUAAAGUUUGUCCACAGCUCCAUAAGGAGGCGGGGUUUAGGACCUAUACUGCAGCCCGUCAC